CCUUAUGCCAUCUGAUCCUAAACUGAACUUUGCACCCCUUGAUAAUCUUUACCUUAUUCUCUGAUAACCAGAAACUUCUACGCUUAAACUCUGUACCAUUUUUUUUUAUUUUAACAUCAUCUUAGUCUCAGUGAUAGAUUUCCUUUAACCAGAAGACAACGUCAGACAUCCAUGUUGAUACUAUUAGAUGUGCCAGCAGCUGCAUACUGUUGAUCACAAGUGCUGAGACUUGACUAUAAGAUCUGGCAGAGGCGGACAUAAUGUAUGUUAGUGUCGCUGUUCAUUCCUUUCUCAGAUAUCACAGAAGUGCUUAUCAGGCAAAUAUUCUCCCUCACCACGUCUCACAGUAGUAAUUCCUAAUCCUUUCAGGGAAGGCUAUUUGCUCUUUUGAUGGGCUUGUUCUGUAUGCCCCCCUGCUUAUUGGGAAAAGCCUGUUUUGCAUUUGGUCUAUCCUGUCAUUGCACCCAGAUGCAACAAUAUUGGGCAUAUUAUCAUUAUUUGCAAUAGUAACUAAGGGGAAAAGAGCAAGAAUUAGCCUUAGGUGUUUGGGAAGAUCUCUACUAGAAAAGUCAGCCUUUGCUCUAAAAUCCUCUGAGCUUAUGGCAAGUGAAAGUUUUGUUCUGCUGCUGGUUCAGUUCAUCCCAUGCUAUCAAAUCAACCACAUCUCUCUCUCCACUGCCC